AGGACGAACGCUGGCGGCGUGCUUAACACAUGCAAGUCGAGCGGUAAGGCCUUUCGGGGUACACGAGCGGCGAACGGGUGAGUAACACGUGGGUGAUCUGCCCUGCACUUCGGGAUAAGCCUGGGAAACUGGGUCUAAUACCGGAUAUGACCUCCGAUCGCAUGGUUGGUGGUGGAAAGAUUUAUCGGUGCAGGAUGGGCCCGCGGCCUAUCAGCUUGUUGGUGGGGUAAUGGCCUACCAAGGCGACGACGGGUAGCCGACCUGAGAGGGUGACCGGCCACACUGGGACUGAGACACGGCCCAGACUCCUACGGGAGGCAGCAGUGGGGAAUAUUGGACAAUGGGCGCAAGCCUGAUCCAGCCAUACCGCGUGGGUGAAGAAGGCCUUCGGGUUGUAAAGCCCUUUUGUGGGAAGAAAGCAUUCGGUUAAUACCCGGUGUUCUGACGGUACCCAAAGAAUAAGCACCGGCUAACUUCGUGCCAGCAGCCGC
rnacentral:rRNA from 1 species